rnacentral:piRNA from 1 species
UGUGACUUGCAGAUGCCCAGAAAUGGU